GAUGAACGCUGGCGGCGUGCCUAAUACAUGCAAGUCGAGCGAAUGGAUUAAGAGCUUGCUCUUAUGAAGUUAGCGGCGGACGGGUGAGUAACACGUGGGUAACCUGCCCAUAAGACUGGGAUAACUCCGGGAAACCGGGGCUAAUACCGGAUAACAUUUUGAACCGCAUGGUUCGAAAUUGAAAGGCGGCUUCGGCUGUCACUUAUGGAUGGACCCGCGUCGCAUUAGCUAGUUGGUGAGGUAACGGCUCACCAAGGCAACGAUGCGUAGCCGGCCUGAGAGGGUGAUCGGCCAAACUGGGACGGAGACACGGCCCAGACUCCUACGGGAGGGAGCAGUAGGGAAUCUUCCGGAAUGGACGAAAGUCUGACGGAGCAACGCCGCGUGAGUGAUGAAGGCUUUCGGGUCGUAAAACUCUGUUGUUAGGGAAGAACAAGUGCUAGUUGAAUAAGCUGGCACCUUGACGGUACCUAACCAGAAAGCCACGGCUAACUACGUGCCAGCCGCCGCGGUAA
rnacentral:rRNA from 1 species